UGGGGAAUAUUGGACAAUGGGGGGAACCCUGAUCCAGCCAUGCCGCGUGUGUGAAGAAGGCCUUAUGGUUGUAAAGCACUUUAAGCGAGGAGGAGGCUACUAGUAUUAAUACUACUGGAUAGUGGACGUUACUCGCAGAAUAAGCACCGGCUAACUCUGUGCCAGCAGCCGCGGUAAUACAGAGGGUGCGAGCGUUAAUCGGAUUUACUGGGCGUAAAGCGUGCGUAGGCGGCCAUUUAAGUCAAAUGUGAAAUCCCCGAGCUUAACUUGGGAAUUGCAUUCGAUACUGGAUGGCUAGAGUAUGGGAGAGGAUGGUAGAAUUCCAGGUGUAGCGGUGAAAUGCGUAGAGAUCUGGAGGAAUACCGAUGGCGAAGGCAGCCAUCUGGCCUAAUACUGACGCUGAGGUACGAAAGCAUGGGGAGCAAACAGG
rnacentral:rRNA from 1 species